rnacentral:rRNA from 1 species
AUUGAACGCUGGCGGCAGGCCUAACACAUGCAAGUCGAACGAGUGGCGGACGGGUGAGUAAUGUCUGGGAAACUGCCUGAUGGAGGGGGAUAACUACUGGAAACGGUAGCUAAUACCGCAUACCAUCGGAUGUGCCCAGAUGGGAUUAGCUUGUUGGUGGGGUAACGGCUCACCAAGGCGAAGAUCCCUAGCUGGGCUGAGAGGAUGACCAGCCACACUGGAACUGAGACACGGUCCAGACUCCGACGGGAGGCAGCAGUGGGGAAUAUUGCACAAGGGGCGCAAGCCUGAUACAGCCAUGCCGCGUGUAUGAAGAAGGCCUUCGGGUUGUAAAGUACUUUCAGCGGGGAGGCGUUACCCGAAGAAGAAGCACCGGCUAACUCCGUGCCAGCAGCCGCGGUAAUAC